GUUGGCUGGGAUUGGCUCCAGCAGACCCCUGUGACCCUGUAGUUAGGAUAUAGCGGGUUGGAUAAUAGUAGGACGGAUGCAGUGUAGGUGCCAUGGAGGAAGGAAAGGCAUCCUAGGCACGGUAAACUGAGAAUUCAUACCCGGACAGGAGGCCAUAAUGGAUGGACUGGGCAAACAGGCAUACCGGGAGCAGUUCAUUCCCCCACACGACAGGUGGCAGUGUUCCUCAGGGCCAAUUAGGACACACCAAGAGGGUAGUAUGGGAAUUGGAGUCCUAUUGGGGGCUUUGUGGACCAGCAGAGGGUGCUGCCAGGGGAGGACUGUCUUGGUUUGCACGCAAACCAGAAGUGCUCGGAAUGACCUGGGCAGGUGGGUUGGAUUCAAAAAAGAGCCCGCAGUCGGGAGGCAGCACUCUAUAUGGGAGGUAGAAAGGAAAGGGGAGGAUUUGUAUUUGCGUAUCGUGGCCGGAGAUUCUGUAAGUAAGAUGUUGAAGGUGGAUAAAAAUCUUUUAUUUGAACCUGGGCAUUACUGUGUCUGUGGUUUGAGGCUUAGUGGCACCCCCUUGUGGUUACACACAAUAACCAAAAUGGACUGAAGCUGAUACACUACCAUAUGUGUGUUCACAAUGGCUUGUGGGUAGUUUGAACACAUACAGCAUAGACUGUGGGACUGCAGUAUUGUUAACAUUGCACUGUAGUGAGAUUUCUUUGGAAAAGAGGGAGUGAAACCUGACGAAAUUCACUGAAGGAUGUUGGCGCAGUCUGAAAAGUGAAAACAACAUGACUCAAUAAAAAGUUUAUGAAUGGGUAGAAAGGUUUGAAGAGGGAAGAACAAGAAGCUGGAUCUGGUCAAACAUCAGCACCACGCACACAAGCUCACAUCAAGGUGGCGAAUGCCUUCAUUAGAGAAGAAGGACGCAUUGCGUUGCUGCACAUUUGGAUAUCAGCUGUGGUUCUUUAUAUGCCACAGUACAUGAUGACUUGGCUUGCAGUAAAGUUUGUGCAACAUGGGUACCCAAACAGCAGAAGCUGUCAUCCUUCUGUGAAUUUCAGCAGGUUUCAUUCCCCCUGUCCAAAGAAAUCUCACUACUGUACUUUAGUCUUCAAUGAUAAAAUCCCACACUGCAGCGUCCAUGUUCAUUUAACUUCAAAUGGACUACCAGCAGAGCAUUGCACUGUGUGGGUUAAAACUACCCAUAAGCCACUGCAAAUAUAUUGUAUUGAGUCAGCUUCUAUCCAUUGUCGGUACCAAAUAAUUGCCUUUAGUUUUUGAUUUAUUCUUGUACUUUCUGGUUUAAGGCAGGCAACUGUCAUACCCUGAAUGAAUUCUUUUUCAUACUCGACGAGAACAGAUACAUUAAUAAUGUUGUUUAUAUCAAAGUCAUCAUGUUUGAUAAGUAGAAAAAACCUUUGUAAAAACAUGUUCUUUCUUCCAGUUCAAGUGACUGUUAGUCAGCUCACUGCAUUACUGUGACAGCAGAAACUCUUAGUCAAGUAAAUCUCAACUAAAAGCCUGUGUGUGCUCUUACACUUAAACAUAUAAAGACCACAAAUAAAACAAUAAAGAACAAAGACUAGAUUUACAAAGUGGAAAAGCUGAGCAGUUAUUGACAAGCUAUUACAGGAUGUGGGGCUAUGGGGUCCACCUCGCAGCACUUCUGUGCCAAGCUGGGAUGACUUUUAUGUUCCUUCAAUUUCAAUAUGAACACUACAAAUACCCAACUAGUGUAAUACUUUAGGACAAUGCCUGUUUUGUGUAUCAAAUUAAUAGAUUUAUUCUUUUUAGUAUGUGAAAUCAACUUCAGAGAGUGCACUGUUGAAAACAAACCCCAAGUUACCAUGGAUAAGAAGGAAGCAUCGGCUGACCAUGUCAUUCUCUGUCAUGUAAUCUUAGUCUGAGACAGCAGUAAGGAGGACCAUCAUGGAUUUGGAGUCGGGAGAGGAGCUGGACGAGACAAAGGAAAGGAAUGGAUUAGUGUGCUGUCUUUAACUUACAGAAAGGAAUCUGCUGAAGGCAUUCUGUUAAUAAAAGUUAAGUGUCUUGAACCCAGGACUGUGUCACUGCUCACAGGCUUCCAUCAAGUAUUGCCAACGGGGGGAUGUAUACUUAACAAAAGACAUUUCAGUUUUACUACUUGAACACUUUUAUUUUAUAAUAAAAUGGUUUCACCACA